rnacentral:rRNA from 1 species
GAUGAACGCUGGCGGCGUGCCUAAUACAUGCAAGUCGAGCGAACGGACGAGAAGCUUGCUUCUCUGAUGUUAGCGGCGGACGGGUGAGUAACACGUGGAUAACCUACCUAUAAGACUGGGAUAACUUCGGGAAACCGGAGCUAAUACCGGAUAAUAUUUUGAACCGCAUGGUUCAAAAGUGAAAGACGGUCUUGCUGUCACUUAUAGAUGGAUCCGCGCUGCAUUAGCUAGUUGGUAAGGUAACGGCUUACCAAGGCAACGAUGCAUAGCCGAGCUGAGAGACUGAUCGGCCGCACUGGAACUGAGACACGGUCAAGACUCCUACGAGAGGCAGCAGUAGCGAACCUGCCGCAAUAGGCGAAAGCAUGACGGAGCAACGCCGCGCGAGUGAUGAAGGUCUUCCGAUCGUAAAACUCUGUUAUUAGGGAAGAACAUAUGUGUCAGUAAAUGUGCACAUCUUGACGGUACCUAAUCAGAAAGCCACGGCUAACUACGUG